AAAUGGGUAUUAUUUCGAUGGCUCGUGUCUGAAGUGGUUCUGAGUUUUGAGAUCGAUUUCAGAGGUUGAUUUUCCAGAGGCUAGCUUUAACUCAGAGGGAGAGAAAGACUUGGAAGAUUCUCUUUUUUCAGUUUGGCUUCGAACUUAAAUGAAGAAAUUACAAAGUUCAUAAGAAGGUCCUAGCUGGAGAUAUGGAAGAGACCCAAGAAGGUGGACAAAGGAGGUGCAAGGUGAGGUGGCUUUAAAACAGUAUACAGCCUGUCUCCACUACUUCAAGUAAUUGUUGGAGAGCCUGAAAUGGCCAGACCAGAGGUAGUGAAGAAACUUUGGGCUUAUAUCCGGGAAAAGGAUUUGCAGGACCCAAAGAAUAGGCGGAACAUAAGAUGUGAUGAAUCACUACAUGCCAUUUUUUCGUGUUAAGUCUAUUGAUAUGUUUAAAAUGAAUAAAGUCCUGUCCAAGCAUAUAUGGCGGCUAAACAGGGAAGAUGGGUGAUUACGUAAAUUCAAUGAGAGCAGCACAGGAGUUCAGCUCAAGAAUGUUUGAUUCCAUAAAGAUGGUUUCAACAAUGAAGAAGUCGAUCUUUGAUGAACAAACUAACAAGGCCUUAAGGAAAUUGCAAAAGAAUGCUCAAAAGAAGAAUAAGCAUCAUGAUGUGGUUCGAGCUGAAUGGGCAAAUCAUGUUAUACAGUUCUAACUUUGGUUCUUUUUAAGGUAGAUGAGUAGCACUUGGAACUGCUUUUGUGCAUUUAUAUAUAACUGAUGGAAAGUGUUGAUGAACUUAAAUUAUGCAUGCAGUUGCUCUGUC